UCUUUCCCUCCAGCUAGUUGGAAAGGUGGUAACCCCCAGGAUGAAUUUAUAAACUCUGUGGCGAAGAUGGCAGAAUUUAUGUAAUUCUGAGUUACAGUGGCUUCGUGGAAGGGCUGCUUCUCCUGUUCUCCUGCUCAGUAUUAUUAGGGAUCUCAGCAGAGGCUGGUUUUGUGGGAAAAUACCUGUAUGAAUAAGUCAUCCUGUGGUUUUCUGAAGUGGGUAUUCAGGAGACACUUAUGGAAAGGAAAUAAAAGCUUCAGAGAGUGAAGCCAAAGAAACCUGGAAGUUUUCCUCUGAGGCUUCUCUCCUACCUGCUCUCAUUGAUGGGAUGCUGAGGAUGUUCACAUCUGACCUUUUGAAUUGCCUUAGCCUCACCACCCCACAAACAGCCGUGGGUUUCCAGGCCUUCAGCUUUGCUGAUGACACUGGACAAGAGCACACAGGUAUUCCAAAAUGCUUCAAAACGUAUUCAUCUCUGGUGUGAGACGAACAUGGUCUUUGUCCUGAGAUUUCAUUUGCGGCGAUUGUCAUACUUUUCUUUCUUGGAGACACCACUGCGGGAGAUGAAAAAUACAAUACACAGUUCACAAGCAAUAAUCACACGUGCCCUAAAUCAUCUGUUUGAAUUCUUCUAGAUUUGAAAUCAUGGAACCUGCACAAGGACAUUGGUAGGUCAUAACAUGUGUUGUUUUAGCCAUCAGGAAGGUCAACCACAGUUUAAAUAUGAACCUGACUGGUACUGCUGGGGAAAGCACUACACGAACUUCUGAUUUGUUUGUCAAACUUGUCUGAGAUGACGUGCCUCUCUCUCUACUUUUAUAUGAGAGAAUACAGCACAGCUGGAAUUCAAAACACUAAGAAAAGUA